rnacentral:lncRNA from 1 species
AUGCUAACUUCAACUGGACUCUCUCUGGGCAUUUUGUUAUUAGCACUUGUCAGCAAGGUACUCAGGCAUAGAAAAAGGCAAGCAGCAGAAAAUCUGUGUGCAUGUGUGUGCCUGUACCUGCUCACUCCGAGAGCAGGAGGAAGGGGAAGCAGGAGGAGGCGCCAUCUCAACCUUAGCUGCCACGAGUUCACAUGCAGAGUUGUUUGUCAGAAGUGCGUUCUGUGGCCUUGGAAGCAGGCAGGUCUCUUGUUGGUUAUAAGCUACCAUGCACAGCAUUACUUAGAGGUGCCUAUGUGCACAGCACACCCAUGUUCACAAUUACACUUGGACAAUAACAUCACAUACACCUCCCUCUUCAGGGGCUUAGGCAGCAUAAAACAUACCAUCUCAUACAGAAGGGAUUUCAUUUACAAAAGCAAAAUCCGUUAUUGUCCUCUUUUUCUGUGGCAUCCCAAUGCAUUUCUAUUGCUUUUUCAUCAAAUGCUGCUGCAAAUAAUCAAGCAUGACCACUGACAUCCACAAGAUUGAGUUUUAGGAACCAUUAAAUGAGCUCACCCUCAUGGGAAGUCUCUUGCUCAGGCUGGUCUAAAGGUAAUUAUUCCGCAAUUCCUACCUGUGGUAUUACCUUGUCCCUAUAUAGUGUUUGAAUUUCAUACUCUAGUAAGGUCAGUCUUUCUUUCCUCUGGAAAAGUCCAGCUACAUAUGUUUGAUCCAAGACCUAAUUGUAAUGUUAAUAUACACACUGGUAUUUCAUCGGGUACUAUGUGCACAAGUGCUGAUUAAAAUAGCUCUUAGAUUAAAGGUAGAUCAUAAAAUAUAUUAAGCCAAAACCAAACAGGAGAGCUGGGAGAGAAAAAUAGCCCUUAAUAGGUUCCUAAAUGAGAGGAGUAAUUCCUCUUUGCAUAGGUAAGGGCAUCUGAACCACAUUCACAGUGUUCAAGUGCAAGAAGCUGGCAGGUCCUCGUCCUGAAAAAUCAACAAGCCAUAACACUAUCAAGUCAGACUGAGAACUCGCUGUAAACCCGAAGUCCACAUCGCCACACUGUAUGUCCUCGAAUGUUCACUCAACUGUUAGUUAAAAUAAUUACUGCCAUUUGCCACCUGCACUGCGAGCUACAGAUAAGGGGAGAAACAGAACUUCAGUGACUGUGGCGCCUAGCACUGGUGGUAUUUUCCCUACACAUUUUAAAAGAAAUUCAAAGGCUCCAUCAGCUACAAUUCAAAGGAUGAGAAUUAUAUAUGAAUCUGUGUCAUCCUUGGUUCCAUCCAAUAAAUAACAACAGAAUUUAAAGCUGGCUGAUGAAGAUACCACGUCAGUUUAAAAUCAGUUAAUAAAAGAGGAACAAAGAGGGGGGAGAUGGAGAGAGGAAGGGAGAGGAAAUGAAGAAAAAAACAGAACUACAUACUGUGAAAUGAACAAGUUCAGUUAGAAUGUUCAUCAGGAUUUGGAAAAUCAUAAUGCCAUCUGCUACUCUGGACCUCAGAACAUCAGGGAUCUCCUGGGCCCAGACGCUUCCAUUUCCAGGAGGAAGGAAGAACUUACACUCCCUGGAAAGCUGCCUCCAUUCUGGAAUGGAGGCGACACCCCAGCCGACCAGUUUGGAAUCGCUUUUGAGAACAUUUUGCUGCUCACACACGCGUUUCCCCUGGUUUAGGGAAAAUUAACAGCAAGCAAAACGAUUACAGCAACUCGGCAGUGAGGCGGCGCAGGGACCCAGCCCGAGCUGCUGGGUAACUGACCCUGGCAUCCAACUUGGGCUCGGGGUGUGGAGGUCCCACCAUGGUGGAUUAAAUGAGCAUUGUCCUACGGCUGGGUACGACUUCACAAUAGAGCAACACAUGUUAAAUGACAGCAGCCAAAACUGGCCCCACCAGGCAACUGCCCAUUCACAGACCGCUAUUCAAAGGCCUCCACCACCAAGAAAUUAAUUCAUUAAUAAUACAUCAGGCUUCCUAGACAAUUCAAAGGCAACAACACAAAGCUACUUGUUCAGUGACUGCCUGAAGAUGCAGAAUUUUUCCUGGUUAAAAGGGCCUCACAAAUCUAAUUGACUCACUGGAACCAAAGUGAUGGGGAUGUUUAUGUUAACAAUUUGGUCAGUAAAAAAGAAGAAAUGGAGAAAGUCUAUCCACUGAAUUCAGUUGGUGCCACUAGGAAAUAAUAAAAAUAGAGAUUUGCAGCUGCAGCUAAUAAAAUCUGAUUUUACAUAACUGUGUUUAAAAAUUAUUUUUUCGUACUUCAAGAGACUUUGUACAUCUUCCAGAAAAACAUUUUCUUUUAAAUUAUUUCUUCUGUAACAUUUUUUUAAAAGCUUACUUCUUUCUUACUCCUCCCUCCCAACAACUCAUAAAUAUGAAUUAAAUAUAAUUAUAAAUGAACAGAACAUUAACUUUUGGA